rnacentral:rRNA from 1 species
GAUGAACGCUGGCGGCGUGCCUAAUACAUGCAAGUCGAGCGAACAGACAAGGAGCUUGCUCCUUUGACGUUAGCGGCGGACGGGUGAGUAACACGUGGGUAACCUACCUAUAAGACUGGGAUAACUUCGGGAAACCGGAGCUAAUACCGGAUAAUAUUUCGAACCGCAUGGUUCGAUAGUGAAAGAUGGUUUUGCUAUCACUUAUAGAUGGACCCGCGCCGUAUUAGCUAGUUGGUAAGGUAACGGCUUACCAAGGCGACGAUACGUAGCCGACCUGAGAGGGUGAUCGGCCACACUGGAACUGAGACACGGUCCAGACUCCUACGGGAGGCAGCAGUAGGGAAUCUUCCGCAAUGGGCGAAAGCCUGACGGAGCAACGCCGCGUGAGUGAUGAAGGUCUUCGGAUCGUAAAACUCUGUUAUUAGGGAAGAACAUACGUGUAAGUAACUAUGCACGUCUUGACGGUACCUAAUCAGAAAGCCACGGCUAACUACGUGCCAGCAGCCGCGGUAAUACGUAGGUGGGCAGCGUUAUCCGGAAUUAUGGGCGUAAGCGCGCGUAGGCGGUUUUUUAGUCUGAUGUGAAAGCCCACGGCUCAACCGUGGAGGGUCAUUGGAAACUGGAAAACUUGAGUGCAGAAGAGGAAAGUGGAAUUCCAUGUGUAGCGGUGAAAUGCGCAGAGAUAUGGAGGAACACCAGUGGCGAAGGCGACUUUCUGGUCUGUAACUGACGCUGAUGUGCGAAAGCGUGGGGAUCAAACAGGAUUAGAUACCCUGGUAGUCCACGCCGUAAACGAUGAGUGCUAAGUGUUAGGGGGUUUCCGCCCCUUAGUGCUGCAGCUAACGCAUUAAGCACUCCGCCUGGGGAGUACGACCGCAAGGUUGAAACUCAAAGGAAUUGACGGGGACCCGCACAAGCGGUGGAGCAUGUGGUUUAAUUCGAAGCAACGCGAAGAACCUUACCAAAUCUUGACAUCCUUUGACAACUCUAGAGAUAGAGCUUUCCCCUUCGGGGGACAAAGUGACAGGUGGUGCAUGGUUGUCGUCAGCUCGUGUCGUGAGAUGUUGGGUUAAGUCCCGCAACGAGCGCAACCCUUAAGCUUAGUUGCCAUCAUUAAGUUGGGCACUCUAAGUUGACUGCCGGUGACAAACCGGAGGAAGGUGGGGAUGACGUCAAAUCAUCAUGCCCCUUAUGAUUUGGGCUACACACGUGCUACAAUGGACAAUACAAAGGGCAGCGAAACCGCGAGGUCAAGCAAAUCCCAUAAAGUUGUUCUCAGUUCGGAUUGUAGUCUGCAACUCGACUACAUGAAGCUGGAAUCGCUAGUAAUCGUAGAUCAGCAUGCUACGGUGAAUACGUUCCCGGGUCU